ACAGGGGUCUUCACUUGGACAAGAUGCUGUUACCUAAGAAGCAACUAGUCAAGUCAUUUCUGCAGGACUCCUGGCUGAUGGGUGCUAUCAAGUUCCAACAGGAAAGCAGACUUUUACACCACAGACUUUUAAGUGCUAUUAGAAUUAAACAGAAGGAGGAGGAAGAAAGGAACAAGAAGGAGAAGAAAGACAAAGAGAAGGAGAGCAUAUUUCCCAGCUAUGGCCCUUUUCACUACUUUAAAAGCAAAACCAUCAAAGAAUGGGCACCUUUCUAUGGAACUUAGAAUAGUAACUGAUACAAAGUUGCAGCCCAAUCAAUAUUUACUAAAUGAACAAGUAAAUAAACGAAUGGAAGACUGUGAACAUGGAAUCAGAAGAAGGCUUGUGAUCUUCAGGGAAGUCCCAUAACUUCCCUAAAGUGGAAUGGAAGACUUCCCUAAACGAAUGGAAGACUGUGAACGUGGAAUCAGAA
rnacentral:lncRNA from 10 species